rnacentral:lncRNA from 1 species
GGAGAUUCCUGAUUGGUUGACUGCUGUAUCUAGUUUAUGCUAAUUAGAUAAGCUGUGUGGAAUGUAUAAAUACUGCUCCUGUCCUGCAAUAAACGGCUCCUACUCCUGCUGUAUCAACGUACACAAGUUAUUCGUCACCCCCCGGUUAUUUUGCCCAGCCAGCCGGGCAGCGGCAGAUGGUGGCCCGUUACGGGGAGCCCCGGGACAUUCGGGGGUAAGUGACGAAAAAAAAGCUGCCCG